rnacentral:piRNA from 1 species
UGGCAGUGCAGUGUGCCUGGGAGCUGUC